UAGCCGUAAACGAUACUCGCUAGGUGUCGGCCACGGUGCGACCGUUGUCGGUGCCGUAGGGAAGCCGUGAAGCGAGCCACCUGGGAAGUACGGCCGCAAGGCUGAAACUUAAAGGAAUUGGCGGGGGAGCACAACAACGGGUGGAGCUUGCGGUUUAAUUGGAUUCAACGCCGGAAAUCUUACCGGGACCGACAGCAACAUGAAGGCCAAGCUGAAGACUUUGCCGGAUUAGCUGAGAGGAGGUGUAUGGCGUAGUCGUGU
rnacentral:rRNA from 1 species